rnacentral:rRNA from 1 species
UUUCCAGACUCCUACGGGAGGCAGCAGUGAGGAAUAUUGGUCAAUGGGCGCGAGCCUGAACCAGCCAAGUCGCGUGAGGGAUGACGGCCCUACGGGUUGUAAACCUCUUUUGUCGGGGAGCAAAUUCCGUUACGUGUAACGGAGUCGAGAGUACCGUACGAAUAAGCAUCGGCUAACUCCGUGCCAGCAGCCGCGGUAAUACGGGGGAUGCAAGCGUUAUCCGGAUUUAUUGGGUUUAAAGGGUGCGUAGGCUGUGAGGUAAGUCAGCGGUGAAAUGCCCCCGCUCAACGGGGUGAAGUGCCAUUGAUACUGCCUUGCUGGAAUGCGGAUGCCGUGGGAGGAAUGUGUGGUGUAGCGGUGAAAUGCAUAGAUAUCACACAGAACACCGAUUGCGAAGGCAUCUCACGAAUCCGCGAUUGACGCUGAUGCACGAAAGCGUGGGUAUCAAACAGGAUUAGAUACCCCAGUA